rnacentral:rRNA from 1 species
AGAGUUUGAUCAUGGCUCAGAUUGAACGCUGGCGGCAGGCUUAACACAUGCAAGUCGAACGGUAACAGGAAAUAGCUUGCUAUUUUGCUGACGAGUGGCGGACGGGUGAGUAAUGCUUGGGAAUUUGCCGAAAGAUGGGGGACAACAGUUGGAAACGACUGCUAAUACCGCAUAAUGUCUACGGACCAAAGCAGGGGACCUUCGGGCCUUGCGUCUUUCGAUGAGCCCAAGUGGGAUUAGCUAGUUGGUAAGGUAAUGGCUUACCAAGGCGACGAUCCCUAGCUGGUCUUAGAGGAUGAUCAGCCACACUGGAACUGAGACACGGUCCAGACUCCUACGGGAGGCAGCAGUGGGGAAUAUUGCACAAUGGAGGAAACUCUGAUGCAGCAACGCCGCGUGGAGGAUGACGCAUUUCGGUGUGUAAACUCCUUUUAUAUGGGAAGAUAAUGACGGUACCAUAUGAAUAAGCACCGGCUAACUCCGUGCCAGCAGCCGCGGUAAUACGGAGGGUGCAAGCGUUACUCGGAAUCACUGGGCGUAAAGCGCGCGCAGGCGGCCUUUUAAGUUGGAUGUGAAAGCCUACGGCUCAACCGUAGAACUGCAUCCAAAACUAUUGGGCUAGAGUGUGGGAGAGGAAGAUGGAAUUAGUUGUGUAGGGGUAAAAUCCGUAGAGAUAACUAGGAAUACCAAAAGCGAAGGCAAUCUUCUGGAACAUUACUGACGCUGAGGCGCGAAAGCGUGGGGAGCAAACAGGAUUAGAUACCCUGGUAGUCCACGCCCUAAACGAUGAAUGUUAGUCGUCGGGUAGCUAGUCUAUUCGGUGAUGCAGCUAACGCAUUAAACAUUCCGCCUGGGGAGUACGGUCGCAAGAUUAAAACUCAAAGGAAUAGACGGGGACCCGCACAAGUGGUGGAGCAUGUGGUUUAAUUCGAAGCGAAGAACCUUACCUAGCCUUGACAUAUUUUAGAACUCCGCAGAGAUGUAGAGGUGCCUUCGGGAGCUAAUUUACAGGUGCUGCACGGCUGUCGUCAGCUCGUGUCGUGAGAUGUUGGGUUAAGUCCCGCAACGAGCGCAACCCUCGUCACUAGUUACUAACGGUUCGGCCGAGGACUCUAGUGAGACUGCCUUCGUAAGGAGGAGGAAGGUGAGGACGACGUCAAGUCAUCAUGGCCCUUACGGCUAGGGCAACACACGUGCUACAAUGGCCAGGACAGUGAGACGCGAUACCGCGAGGUGGAGCAAAUCUAUAAACCUGGUCUCAGUUCGGAUUGUAGUCUGCAACUCGACUACAUGAAGCUGGAAUCACUAGUAAUCGUAGAUCAGCUAUGCUACGGUGAAUACGUUCCCGGGUCUUGUACUCACCGCCCGUCACACCAUGGGAGUUGAUUUCACCCGAAGCGGGGAAGCUAAACUGGCUACCCUCCACGGUGGAAUUAGCGACUGGGGUGAAGUCGUAACAAGGUAACCG